AACGCACGAGACCUGCGGACCUGCGGAGGGAUCAUUAAAGUAAAAUAUGGGGUUCAUAAAUUAUGACCCUUAAAUCUGAACUUGUGGUAUCACUGAUUUGGUUGUUUUGGGUUUAAAAAGGAUAGGCUAAUAUGAAUGGGAAAUUUUUUUUUUUUCUAGGUUUCUUUUUUUGCAUUAGACUUGUCGACCCAAAACAAAAACUGAAAAGCUCUUAUUUUUUUUUGACUGAAAUAUCAAGUU
rnacentral:misc_RNA from 1 species